ensembl:antisense
CUGUUAGCUGUCAAUAGACGCGGAAAAACUAAAGGGAAAGUUAUUGGAUACUGCUUCAGAAGGGGGACAGGGAAUGCGCAUAUUAAAUGUUUAUCCUGCCUGUUUAAAGCGCUAGUGCCUUCAGCCCACGCUUAAAAAAGACAAAUUACACAUGCCCUUAAACUGUUUCCAAGGAUAAUAAUAAUAACAACAAAAACGUUAUCCUCAAACGAACAUAACAGAAAUAUAUAACAAUUCCUGCAUUUUGCUGGUUUACUCUGGGCCCCGAUGUUGCUAAGACCCCGUGAUAAACCCAGAACAAGUAUCAAGUUAUCAGGUUGCAAGAAGCUUUUGUAAUAAGAGUAUUUUGUCUAAUCCCAAAUUGCAGUCGAAUUUUCUAAAUGCUGAGCUCGUAAAUCUUGGGAUUAGAGGAGGCGAGAAGAGGAGGGGGAAAAGUUUGGUUUCUUUAGCCGGCAGGAUGGGAGCGGGUCGGCGAUGUUGUCGGUCCUUAUUAAAACGAUGAUGCAUAAAAUUCGAUAUUGAAGCUCACGCAGAAGGCUCGGUACCGGCGUAUUUUACCACGAAGGAAGGAUUUUCGGCGGUCGAAGGGCUUUGGUGAAGUCGAACUGUUCAGCACCUGAAGUCAGGCCGUGGACUUCAAAGCAAGAGCCACAGAUCGCGCUUCUCCGCCCGCGCUGAGAUGCUCCACUUCUCUUUGCCACGCCGUUUGGAGAGUUUUAUUAUGUGAUAAACAAUCUAUUUAAAAGAAGUCACUUUUUACCACUACUGGUUUAAGCUGGAAAACAAUAGUUGGCAACAAAAAGAACAACAAUCAGGGUUCUCUCCAGGUGUUCGUCUUCCUCUUCAGCCCUGCCGACACACACACACACACACACACACACACACACACACACACACACUGGAUCAGAGGUCAUUGAUGGAGAAGCAUGAGAACAGCAGAUGCACCUUCAGUACCUAUGACCUGAACUCUGGCUGAAGGCUCACUUUGACUCCUGAAAUUCUCACAAGUCCUGACUCCACCUAAACACACUCUGUGGCAAAGAGAUGUGGGUGACUGCAAUCUGUGGCGUUUAAAACCCUCUCGGAACAACACUAUUGGGCCUAAUUCUGUCCCACAAUCCCACAGUGCCUUGCGGCAAGGAGACUCACUCUUUCUCCUGGGCGUCCAGGUCUCGGACCAGCGCAUCUCGUUUGUUGACUAGAAUGACCAGCUCAUCCAGCAGCAGCUGCUCUCGCCGCUUCUGGGCCUCUGUCUUCUGCCAGUCUGGAGGAUGGAGAGGAAAAGAGGAAUGUUAGAGGGAAAAAAACUCAGGACUUCAAAUGAUGAACAUGAACAUGACAGGCCGGCCUGUUUAUCCUGCACAGUUCUCUAUACGUUGCAUGUCAUUCACGAGCCUCCUCUAUAAUUCGCUCUGUCGUUUCUGCAACCCCUCCGUCAAGAACCACAAUGCCCACUUCACAAAGCCCUGCCUGGAGGGUAGACUGUGACCAACAAAAACUUCUCCUGCAUGUCCCAAAGAGGUAGAGGGCGAGAGAAAAAGCCCCUGGACUUUUUACCUCCUCCUCCUGUUCCCCUUCAGCGUUCUCAGCCAAAAAGCCACAGAUCCUCCCCUGCACCUCCGGCAGAGGCCGCAUGCAGCUGUCAAUCAAGCCGAGCGGCGCCGCCCCCCUCAUUAAGAAGGUAAACAAUGAAUAUGGACGCAGAGGGACAGGGCAGAGCAAACCACUGAGCGCAACUUGCCAAAAAAACACUAACGGAAGCUGCUGCCUCCUCUCUUUUCCUCCGAGAAGAGACGGACGGACUAUUUGGAGUUGGUGGUGGUGGUGGUGUUGGGUGGGAAGGGGGGGUUCAAUCCCUUUUGGAUUACUCCCCUCUUUUUCUCUCUCUCAUCGCCCUGGGCAAUCACGUUAAAACUCACAUGGUCGGUGCUUAUUCAGAUAACCCUAACAAUGCACACCAAUGGUAACCAUGUGAGCACUCACAACCCACAGAAGAAUGCGCUGGUUCAAAUCCCCAUGACCCUCCUCCACAGCAAAAUUUAUUCAAGAGUGCAACCUGCUCGGCAGCUUCAGGAGGCACAGAGCUGAGCUUCUUCUGAAAGAUCACCAAACACAAACUUCACACACAUGCGGACACAACUUUUGGAGCCAGCGGAGUGGGUUUGAACUUAUUUUGGAGGACGAAAUAACAGGAAAUAAGUAGUGUUGGAGGAAUCCAGGGAAAAUGCAUGCUCUUAUUACAGCAGAUUUGGGUGAGCAGUGGGCAGGCUGAGAGCGCCAGCAUAAGAUGGAGCUGGAGAGAGGCCAGCUGGGAACCAGACAAAGACCAACAUGGACAAGGAGGGUGACGGGACAACAGUCCCCGGAUUCUUACCCUAAAAAUACAUGAGAAUUAAAGUGACUUCAUCAAAUAAAUAAAUAAACACAAAGUGUCUGAAUGGCUAC